rnacentral:piRNA from 1 species
UAGACAAUGAAUUCUGUCAGGUUUCU